rnacentral:rRNA from 1 species
GCCCUUAGAGUUUGAUCAUGGCUCAGAACGAACGCUGGCGGCGCGUUUUAAGCAUGCAAGUCGAGCGGUAGACAUCCUUCGGGGUGUUGAGAGCGGCGAACGGGUGAGUAACACGUAGGUGAUCUGUCCUGAGGUUGGGGAUAGCCUGUGGAAACACAGGGUAAUACCGAAUACGUCCUGGCUGCUAUGGCAGCGAGGGCAAAGGCCCUUCGGGGUCGCCAUGGGGUGAGCCUGCGGCUCAUUAGCUAGUUGGUAGGGUAAAGGCCUACCAAGGCGACGAUGAGUAGCCGGCCUGAGAGGGUGAACGGCCACACUGGGACUGAGAUACGGCCCAGACUCCUACGGGAGGCAGCAGCUAAGAAUCUUCCGCAAUGGGCGAAAGCCUGACGGAGCGACGCCGCGUGGGUGAUGAAGGCCUAACGGUUGUAAAGCCCUUUUCUGUGUGAGGAAUAAUGCUGGGAGGCAAUGCCUGGCAGAUGACGGUAGCACAGGAAUAAGCCCCGGCCAAUUACGUGCCAGCAGCCGCGGUAACACGUAUGGGGCGAGCGUUGUUCGGAAUUAUUGGGCGUAAAGGGCGCGCAGGCGGCCACGUAAGCCUGGUGUGUAAGACCGCAGCUCAACUGCGGGAACGCGCUGGGAACUGUGUGGCUGGAGUUCAGGAGGGGAAGUUGGAAUUCCUGGUGUA